AAACAUUUGGGGAGGCACCAUGUUCACAUAGGUGGUUUUUCCAAGGGGAGGCUCAUCCACUGCAUCCUGGUUGUGUUGACCCCUGCGGUUUCCCCAAAUGCGGGAAACUCAACUAAAUAAUUUGGGGGCGGGGGGACUGUGUUGGUGCUCUCCCCCU